GGACAGUCGGGGAUGAGUGCGCUAACAUACCUGUAGGUUGCCGUUUUAAUGCUUUUAAUGUUUUUAAUCAUGGAAAACAAAAAUGGCGGAGUUUCUCCGGUCGCACGAUAGAAUUACAAGCUUCACCUCCUGCUAAAAGUUCUACACCAGCAGCUGGACCAUCCUCUGCUGACAGUGUCGAUGCUGGACCAAUUUAUUCUUCAUUUAGAGCCUGAACCAACAUCUUCCCUCUGUCAGCCUCCUGCAUCCUCCUCUUCAUCUCCGCUUCCUGCAUUUCCCUCAAUUUCUACGGCGUACACCUCGGAUGUCCCAAACAAAAAAAGGACAAGGAAAGAAUGCCAAAAACACCCUACACAGAAGAUUUUCAAAUAUGAAGAGAUAGUAGACAGGAGAGUUGUAAAUG